AUUUCAACAUGAGGGACCCACUGACAGAUUGUCCGUAUAAUAAAGUAUACAAGAACCUAAAGGAGUUUUCUCAAAAUGGAGAGAAUUUCUGCAAACAGGUCACAUCUGUUCUUCAGCAAAGGUACAAAAUGCACGUUUGCAAUAAAUGGUUCUUCCUCUUUAGUUGUAGCAAGUGAUAUGACUGGAGGAGUGAUUACAAGCUGUCCUACUUUCCAGAAUGUGGUGUUGUAUUUUGGUACUCGAGAGAUUGCUUGAAGAAUGAUUCUCCCCUAUUGCACAUUUAUCAACUGGAUGCCAUAAAAAUCAAGAAACAACAGGAAGUAAUUCAGCUUAGGAAGGCUUAGUCAAGUCUCUUCUGAUUCCUCAGACUGGGUUUAUUACCCUCUCCUGGGGCCCACUGUUGGAUCUGAUGCAUACUCUCAUUAUUGUACUUUUCACACCAACAGCAAUUAUUUACAUUUUUCUCUCCCUAGAAGGGCAGAGGCAGUCUUACUCAUCAUUGUAUGCUGACCUCUUAGAGCCUGGCCUUUUGAUUUCCUUAGUCACUGUCAG
rnacentral:sRNA from 1 species